CCAGGGGUACCAAAGUGGCCAACUGGGUUAGACUGUAAAUCUAAUGGGUUUUCCCUUCGGAGGUUCGAAUCCUCCCCCCUGGA
rnacentral:tRNA from 1 species